UGGGGAAUAUUGGACAAUGGGCGCAAGCCUGAUCCAGCCAUGCCGCGUGAGUGAUGAAGGCCCUAGGGUUGUAAAGCUCUUUCACCGGUGAAGAUAAUGACGGUAACCGGAGAAGAAGCCCCGGCUAACUUCGUGCCAGCAGCCGCGGUAAUACGAAGGGGGCUAGCGUUGUUCGGAUUUACUGGGCGUAAAGCGCACGUAGGCGGACUUUUAAGUCAGGGGUGAAAUCCCGGGGCUCAACCCCGGAACUGCCUUUGAUACUGGAAGUCUUGAGUAUGGUAGAGGUGGGUGGAAUUCCGAGUGUAGAGGUGAAAUUCGUAGAUAUUCGGUGGAGCACCAGUGGCGAAGGCGGCUCACUGGACCAGUACUGACGCUGAGGUGCGAAAGCGUGGGGAGCAAACAGG
rnacentral:rRNA from 1 species